CUUGGGGAAGGGGGCUGCUGCUCAGAGGCAGAACACCUGCUUCACAUGCAGAAGGUCCCAGGUUCAAUCCCUGGAAUCUCCAAGA